CCCUAGCCCUGAUAGUAGCGGCAUCCCACGCUUUUUUUGGCGUGGAUAUAGCGAAUAGCAGGAAAAAGC
rnacentral:sRNA from 1 species